rnacentral:rRNA from 1 species
AGCAGUAGCCGCGGUAAUACGUAGGUGGCAAGCGUUGUCCGGAAUUAUUGGGCGUAAAGGGCUCGCAGGCGGUUUCUUAAGUCUGAUGUGAAAGCCCCCGGCUCAACCGGGGAGGGUCAUUGGAAACUGGGAAACUUGAAUGCAGAAGAGGAGAGUGGAAUUCCACGUGUAGCGGUGAAAUGCGUAGAGAUGUGGAGGAACACCAGUGGCGAAGGCGACUCUCUGGUCUGUAACUGACGCUGAGGAGCGAAAGCGUGGGGAGCGAACAGGAUUAGAUACCCCAGUAGUCCCUGUCUCUUAUAC